CGGGGGUGGAGUAAUGCUUGGGAAUCUAGCUUAUGGAGGGGGAUAACUACGGGAAACUGUAGCUAAUACCGCGUAGUAUCGGAAGAUGAAAGUGUGGGACCUUCGGGCCACAUGCCAUAGGAUGAGCCCAAGUGGGAUUAGGUAGUUGGUGAGGUAAAGGCUCACCAAGCCGACGAUCUCUAGCUGGUCUGAGAGGAUGACCAGCCACACUGGGACUGAGACACGGCCCAG
rnacentral:rRNA from 1 species